GGAGCCAACAGAGUGAGAUGAAGGGGACAACUUCAGAUACUCAGGCAGAAGCAUAAGUCCCCACCUGCUGACCUGCUGCCUGCUAUCUUAACACGAAUUCUUCAUCUGAAUGGAUGAGCUUUUCACAGAGUUCCAAACUAAGGAAUCCAGGAGUGGCCAAUCCAGAGAUUCAUUCCUUAUCUUUGACGAACAUCUGAACUCCUGGCUCAUCCUGUGGAAUUCAGGCCAUACAGGAGAUCAAGGUCAUUUGCUUUGGGUUAAAUGAAUGUUGCCAGGUGGAGGUUGCUAGAGGGAGAGUGCUAUGUGAAAGUGCUGUAUAAACUGCUUGCUUUUCACAAACAGUAGUGAUUCUUUAUCCUGUCCAGCCUGCCACAACUGGACCAUCCUGUAUGUAAGUCCCCUUAAUAAAUCCUGUGUCUCAUUCACUGGC
rnacentral:lncRNA from 1 species